AUGCGUAGGGUACGAACGUUAUCCGGAUUUACUGGGCGUAUAGAGAUGCGUAGGCGGUUUGAUAAGUCUUAAGUUAAAGACCUUGGCUCAACCAAGGGGGAGCUUUCGAAACUAUCAGACUUGAGACAUAGAUGGGUGAACGGAAUUCCGAGUGGAGCGGUAAAAUGUGUUGAUAUUCGGAAGAACAUCAGUGGCGAAAGCGGUUCACUGGCUAUUGUCUGACGCUAAGGCUCGAAAGCGUGGGCAGCAAAACGGAUUAGAUACCCGUGUAGUCCACGCCGUAAACUAUGGAUGCUAGGUGUUUGGUAUGACUACUUUUUAUCUUCGGAUUCUAAGUGGAAGUACUGAGUGCCGCAGCUAACGCGUUAAGCAUCCCGCCUGGGAAGUACGGCCGCAAGGCUAAAACUCAAAUGAAUUGGCGGGGACCCGCACAAGCGGAGUAGCGCGUGGUUUAAUUCGACGGCAAUCGAACAACCUUACCAGGGUUUGACAUGUAUCUGCAUAUCUUUGGAAACAUAGAUAGCCUUCGAGGGUGAUACACAGGUACUGCAUGGCCGUCGUCAGCUCGUGUCGUGAGAUGUAGGGUUAAGUCCCGAAACGAGCGCAACCCCUAUCCCAUGUUAUAAGUGUCUUGGGAGACUGCCUCGGUAAAACGGGGAGGAAGGUGGGGAUGACGUCUGGUCCGCAUAGUCCUUAUGUCCUGGGCUACACACACGCUACAAUGGUCGGUACAAUGGGCAGCCAAGCCGCAAGGCGGAGCUAAUCCUUUAAAGCCGAUCUCAGUUCGGAUUGUGGGCUGAAACUCGCCCGCAUGAAGUUGGAUUCGCUAGUAAUCGUGGAUCAGCCAUGCCACGGUGAAUACGUUCUCGGGUCUUGCACACACCGCCCGUCAAGCCAUGGAAGUAGGUGAUACCCGAAGGUGCCUUGCUGUUUGCAGUGAGGUGACGAAGGUAACGCUUAUAACUGGGGUU
rnacentral:rRNA from 1 species